AUUUUUAUUAUUGGCGAAUGAGAAUUAAGUGCAAAUUGCGCCUUAUGGCGUGGAUAAUGCGGACAACUUCCUUAUGAGGCUUGGGUCUUGCCUCGAGUUCCCUAUCAAACCGAACCUGGUAUGACUUUGACUUAUACGUAUUAAUAUUUAUGUUUUGAUUACAUUUCUAAUUGGAUGCCUGAUUUUUGAUUUAUUUGAUGUGGUCAUUGUUAGUGUCUGUUUUUGUUGGUAGUAGAAGUGAGAAAAAAACAUUCUUGGAGGUUUUCUUAAAAUUGACCGACGAUAUUGUGGCAAAGUUUACAUUUUUUUUUUAAUUAUUAAGGUUCCCUAUCCAUGUGUGUCGGCCUUGAAACAAUUUUUUGGGUGGACUGGGUGUAAGAGAUGUAAAUUUGGUCCCUGAGCAGGCAAUUAGAGUAUGGGGGUUGUUGGUUGGUCUCUUGAAGGAGUGCAAUGGUGCACCUAAAUGAGUUGAUGGGUAAGACAAAAGGAGUAAAGUGUUGUAUUGGCUGGCCCAAAUUAGUGAAUUUUUCUAUGAUGUUGAAAGGACAUUUUCUGCGGUAGUUACCCCUAGUCUCUAAAUCGCCCCUCUUCUGCGAAAAAAUCACAUAAUCUGUGGUUUAAGAAUGAGACUCUAGUACCAUCGGUAAACUGGGAGAUCCUUGGUUCGAAUCGCUCCUGGAGCACCUUUGAUUUAAAGCCAUUCUUUCUAGUCAUUUGUGGGUGACUACUAAAAUCCAGAGUUUACUCUACAUGUAUGGGUUCAAUGUGGCUCAAUCUUGGACAGGUUCCAAAGGUGUCCAAAAAGAAAAUGUUAAUUACUGAUUGUCAAAUACACUCAAAUCAGAUUAUUCGAAUGUUUCUGUUUAAUGACUGCUUGUAGUUUUGCUUUAGAUUCACGGUGGUCAAAGGAAUGGAGGAUACUUUGAUAUUUUUGAGGUACCUUGGCUUUUUAUGAUUGACCGAUGAAAAUCUGCAUUUUCGAUCUGUAUCUCCAUGGAAGAGGGUGGGAGGUUUAUGCUCAAUAUUAAAAGCAUUCUGACACAACUUCUUGAUUUGGUGGUUUGCUGAAGUCACUUUGUGGAUGCCAAAGUGAAAGCCGAAUUGACGUCCCCCCUUAUCAAAGUUGGAUACGGAACAGGUGACUGCUCUGCUAGAAUAUAAAGCCAAUUUUGGUACAUCAGUAUUUAGUGAACUAUAAGAUGAAAUAAAAAUCCUUGGUGAAUGAUCUUAACUUGGUGCAUCUAGAUACUCCUCUUUGAAUCACUGUUUCUUAGAUGUUUCUUAGAGGUCACUUGGUUGAUGCUAAAGCAAAAGAGAAAAGUUGAUUUUUCAUCGCCAAAGUGAAACAUGGGAAGUAGUAGUGAAGUACUACACUCUUCGCUACAGUAUUUGCUAAAUCAUUUAGCUAGUCAUCUCCAGGACUUUUAAGAUAGUCUUUGAAUGCUGUGCAUCGUCCUUGCUCUUUCUGACCACAUAUUACAGUCAUUGCUAGUGUGCAUUGUAAUUUUGCCUUGAAUAUAGUAGUCCAUGUUUGCUUCAGUUUUGACUUUGGACAUGAAUCAUCGGUCAUGCGCGUCAAUGGCAUUGGGCUAUUGAGCCUGUGGCUCUCGUAUAAUGUGGUAGAGUGGCCCUGCCGAAAUUUUCUUCCUCAGUAACCAGAGACAGUUGUAGGCCUUUUGUGUUUGGUUUUCCUUGAUGAGUGAUUGAAAUGAAUCCUUUAUGGGAUCUCAUCAUGUGCAAUAUGCACAGACAGUUGUAGGCCUUCUGUGUUUCCUUUUCCUUUGGUGAGUGAUUGAAAUGAAUUUUUGAUGUGAUCUCAUCGUGUGUGAUACGAGUGAGAUCUCUUCCGCAGAACUGAGGCUCCUCUUCCAACUUACUUACAUCAGCUUUCUUUUUCGUGAAUGGAUUGUUGUUCGGAGUCUUCAAUGAAAUAUUGCUAGGCAUCGUGAAUAUGCUCCUUAACCUCGUCUCUAUUAAAGACAGAAAAGGAUUUGUGUUCAGCAAAUCAAUUUGAAUAGAUGAUAGAGCUUACCUGAUCGAAUGAUGUCAAAUGAUACAAAUAUUGGAUAUCUAAAUGAACAAUAUGCAGUGGGGUUUGAAAGAUAAAAUUGAAUAACGGAAGGAGGAUUCGGUCCGAAGAAAUCGGGCUCCCCAUCUAGGGGUACAGGAGCUGUUGCGAGAGAGGUGUCUUGUAUUUUAUCAUCUUAGUCUCAGUAUCGUACAUACACAAAUGUGGAGGGGCAUGCAUGUUUACCUAAAUGCAGAUGAUCACUGGUACACUUCACAAGAGGAAUCUCCACAAUUGCACGAGAUGAAGCAUAUACUUGCAUGGUCUAGAUUGCCGUACUGUGAAAUAAAAAAAUAGGCGCCUUUGCAAUUUCGGUUCCAGGAACAGAAUCCACAAAGCAUUGCGAUGUAAAUUCGUUGUGCGGUAGCCAUAUAGUCAGCCCAGUUCUGGAUGUCGUUCUCAUAGUAAGACUACAAAAUCAAAUUUCUCAGGCUGCUGCUAUUCCACCUUUACAGCUGGUUUCGGAAGAAGCCUUGCAAGCUGGGCAACCGUAUGCCAUCAAAUUCGAUGUUGUCUGAUUUCAAAAUCUGGGAAAGUAUAGGGAUUGGCGGAUUGCAUAGCAAAAAUAAUCUAUUUGACAAAAUGAAGCAAACAGGAAUAGACAAAUGUAUGUUUUUCUGGCAUGAGAGUAUGCUGCGUCUACGUGUUUAAAGUUUAGGUCAAAUAAACUCCCGGGUUGUGAUGUUCUUGUUGGGUUAUUCUUGUUGGAUUUGUGGGAAUGGGCCCAUUUGGGGUGAGGUUUAGAAUUUAAGGCCCUUAAAGCUGGUUCAGAAUCAGAUAUAGAUACAGACGGUGAUUUACUCUCUUGAAAUUCAGUUUUUUGAAAUUUGAAAAGAAUGAAGGAUGAAAGAGAAGUGAAAACCCUUGUUUCAGUUAUAUCUUGAUUCUUCUUGCCGUGUGGUCUCCGAGAGUCCGAGUGCUUAUAGCGCUUCCUUAUUAGGUUAAGGUCGAUCCUCGAGUUCCAAGCUCACAAGGUGUAAGACAAACCAGGUAUGACUUCUGCAAAUUUCAAAUUAGAAUGUUAAAGAAAAAUACGUGAUUGACCCUCGAAAGCCACCAAUAAAAUAAGGCUCAAUUCUAUCAGUAGAGUACAGUGGCUAGGAAGGCAUUCCGGGUUUGUUGACUGAUAGUGGUUUGUUAAUAAUUAAGCCGGUUUUAACUUAUUAUCUUAUAGGAGGCCCAUUUUACGCCCAAGUCCAUUAUUUUUGGACUAAACUGUACACUUUAGUGGGCCAAAACAUCGUACUAAUUCCAGCUGAGGCUUUUCAUGUGGUUGGCCGAAGCCUAAGCCCAUCUAACAUGGGCUUGGUUGUUCAAAUAAAGGAAAGUGUUGGAUGGGGUUAAUAUAAGUGUAUAACCGACCUUUGUAGGAAACUAUUUAGGAAAUAUUAUACUCUUCCUUAUUUGCCCUUGGUUGUUCAAAUAAAGGAAACUCUUGCGCACGAAAUCCUAAUUCCAGAAAUGGACUCGCGACAGAAAUUGUCACAGCCCUUGAAGCUGUUGAAAGGAGAGAGACGAGCAACGUAAAGCUGGUGACCAAGUUUUGUGAAGGAACAGAUCUUGCUUUCGCUAGGUUUACGAAUUACGAUGUCGUUGGUAGUCGGUUUCUGGAUCGCCUUAUCAUGACUGGUACUUUCUUACUUCUUCUUGUAGUUUGCUUGCAGUUUGUAGGGUUUACGAAUUAUGAUGGCGUCGGUAAUUGGUUUUCUUGAUCCCCUUCUCAUGUCUGGUACUCUCUUACUCCUUUUCGUUUGUUUUGGUUAUUAGUGUUUACAAUGCCGUUGGUAAUUAGUUUCUUGAUCGCAUUCUCAUGUCUGCUACUGUCUUAGUCCGCGUUUCUGUCUUUAGGGUUUACAGGCAUGACUCGUACGCUCUUACUCCUUGCUGUGUAGUUUUCGGUUGUUAGGGUUUACUAUGCACUCUGUAAGGUUUCGUGAUCGCUUCUCGUGUCUGGAAACAUUUACUGGCACACUUCACGUAACAUCUAGUAAACAACACUCACGCACAAAGCUUUCGCGGGGUUGGGGUCAUCUGCUGAAAGCUUCAUACCCUUAUUUUGGGUGAAUCUACAAUACCUAUUAUGGGGGAGGGCUGAUGUGCAAUUCCUGCCGAGAGGUCAUCGGUUACAUCUUACAUGUCUUAUAGUCUCCGAGAGUUGAAGUUGUUGUGUUGCUGAAGGUGCCUAUUUGAAACCUGAAUUUUCAAACAGUUCAUCAACUACUGAAAAUAUUUUCUUAAACCAAAUGAACUUGGCUAUUUCCUAUUCUUUGGUAGAGAGGAUAAUCAAGUUACUAUCAAACAUCAGUGAGAAUGAAGAAGCUUUGAUUCUUCUGGAUCAUGGCCAGAAGAAAGGAAAUGAUCUUCUCUGGUGUCAUUGGGAUUUGGGAGGUAGGCAAUAUGCAAAUCUUCUUCACAUGCAUGUCAUUGUUCGAGGAAAGAAUUAGGUGGUGGUCAUUCAAGGUAAACCCUAAAAGCGAAACUCGUUUUCUUUUUUCGUUUUUCACCAUGAUUUCAGUAUAAUUUCCCUUUUCUUGGUGAUUGUUCUCACUGAUGGAGUGAAGAUCGAAUUGGUAGAAUAAAAAUCUAUGUGACACAGGAUGGUUAUGCGGUCGUUGCUUCCAAUGGGCCCCGUGAAUAUCAUGUGAUUAUUGAAUCAAGAGUUGGAAUGAUGGAUUUGGUGUCACUAUCAUUCCUUGGACUGUUGCAUAUGUAACCACUGGAUGCUGGUCAAACUGGUAAUGUGCUUGUAUGCAUAAUGUUAAGGUAUUGUGCUGUUGAUGUACACAUGAUUUUACAAUCUAUUUCAUCCCUAUUUCGUGGAAGGUUAAGUGAAUCCAUGAUUAUUUUAUAAUUGGAAUCUGAUCGUAGGCAAACUGAAAAUAGAAGUUGCAGUUGUCCUUAAAUCGCAAAACAGAGAGAAAAUGUUUCAGUUUGGGUCCUCUUAUCUCAAAACAGAGAAAAGUUGCAAUUACCCUUUAUCAAUCUAGACAGGUUGUUUAAUCAGUAUGGUUUUGGCAUCAGAAUGCAUGCAUUCAAAGCAAUGCAUUAGAAGUUGCAGUUACAUUAAACAGUUUUCGCCCUUGAAACCAAAUUAUUGGUUAUAUUGUGACAAGAGGAGCCUACAAAAGCAAAAGGGCAAAAUAUUUAUCGAGUCCACUAAACGAUUUAAGAGAUUGUCGGAAUGCAUACAUUGAAAGCAACGAUGCAUUAGAAGUUAAAUAUUUUGCCCUUGAAUCCAAUUUAUUGGUCACCGAGUCCACUAAAUGGGUUUAAGAGAUUGUCGGAAUGCAUGCAUUGAAAGCGGGAAUGCAUUGGAAGUUAAAUAUUUUGCCCUGGAAACCAAUUUAUUGGUUAACGAGUCCACUAAACCAUUUAAGAGAUUGUCGGAACGCAUGCAUUGAAAGCGGCAAUGCAGUGGAAGUUAAAUAUUUUGCCAUUGAAACCAAUUUAUUGGUUAUAUCGUGACAAGAUGGGAGCCUAUAGAAUCGAACGGGCAAAAUAUUUAAUGAGUCCUCUAAACCAUAUAAGACAAUCCAUGCAUUGAAAGCGGCAAUGCAUGGGAAGUUAAAUAUUUUGCCCUUGAAAUCAAUUUAUUGGUUAACGAGUCCACUAAACCAUUUAAGAGAUUGUCGGAACGCAUGCAUUGAAAGCGGCAAUGCAUUGGAAGUUAAAUAUUUUGCGCUUGCAACCCAUUGAUUGGUUAUAUCGUGACAAUGGGAGCCUAUAGAAUCAAAAGGGCAAAAUAUUUAACGAGUCCUCUAAACCACAUCAGACAAUCUAUGCAUUGAAAGCGGCAAUGCAUUGGAAGUUAAAUAUUUUGCCAAUGAAAAUAGUUUAUCGGUUAUAUUGUGACAAGAGGGAGCCUAUCAUAGCAAAAGGGCAAAAUAUUUAACGAGUCCACUAAACCAUAUAAGAAAUUGUCAGAAUGCGUGCAUUGAAAGCAACAAUGUGUUGGAAGUUAAAUAUUUUGCCAUUGAAACCAGUUUAUCUGUUAUAUUGUGACAAGAAUGAGCCUAUCGUAGCAAAAGGGCAAAAUAUUUAACAAGUCCACUAAACCAUAUAAGAGAUUGUCAAAAUGCAUGCAUUGAAAGCAACAAUGUGUUGGAAGUUAAAUGUUUUGCCAUCGAAACCAAUUUAUUGGUUAUAUUGUGACAAGAGGAGCCUAUAAAAGCAAGGGGCAAUUUAUCCAGUCCGUUAAACUAUAUAAGAGAUUGUCAGAUAUGCAUGCAUUGAAAGCAGCAAUGUAUUGGAAGUUAAGUUUGUUGCCUUUGAAACCAUUUUGUUGGCUAUAUUGUGACAAGAGGAGCCUCUGAACGCGAAGAGGGAAUAUUUUACUGAGUCCACUAAGCCAUACGAGAGAUUGUAUUUUGAUUUACCCAAAGUUGAGGAAGCAUUAGUAGGUAUGUUGAAACUUCUAAAAAUAGAACAAUAGUUCUGACUUCUUGGGAAGCAGGAAAUAAGUGAAUACUUGAAUUAUGGUUUUGAGAAUAAAGAAUUCAUGACAAUGGAAAACAUGGCCUAGUGAUUGGGGAAGCGUUGAAGCUCUAAGAAUUAUUCCAUCUGAUGCAUUCCACCUUGUCUAUAAAAGUUGACAAGAGUUUUACUAAAUAUAGGUUAACUUCCCUACAAAGUAGUAUCAAAUGUUAGAGUUUAAUGUCUCAGGGAUUUUUCGUGGAGGUCUGUUUAUUCUUGACUUUCUUUGACCUCUUUUUGCUCUCAUUUUGGAAUUUUCUUUUUAAAAAUAUCUGGACCAAUACCUGAUGGUGCUGAGUUUGUUCAUGUUGAGGACACCGAACUAAUUAAAGAUGCUUUAGCUUAAUCAAAGUGAGUACAAAUAUUGUUGCAGGCUCGGAAAGGCGUUGAUAUACUCUCGGUGGUAGAUGUUCACAUAUUUUCCGGUCUUAUCCAUUUCUUUUCUAUUUUGUGGUCAUACAUGUGUUCUUUUGGCACGGUGUUAGGGUUGGGGCUGAAGGCUGAUAUGCCAAUGCCUUUGGGAGUUUCGCAUAUUUUUCGACCUUAUCCCUUUUUGUUGAUUUGGCUCUUUUGAAGAGUUAACAUCAUAGUUUUUCAAAUUGAAAAGUUGUAGAAAGGAAAAUUUACAAGAAAGCAAUCUGGCGGAGAAGGUGCUUCGAGCUACUUAAUUCUCACAACCUAUAUUCCUCGAGCACAUGAUGUCAGUGUCCAAGUGAUUAACUACCUGGUAAAUCUUGCUCUCUUGGUUGGCAUUUGAUGAACCUUAUAUUGGUGUCCAAAUAUGUAGGACAGGCAAACAACCGUGACGGGUAAUAACUUUUUGAUAUAAAUUAUAAGGGUAAAGUCUAUGUGAAUAAAACAAAAGGUAGGAGAAUUCCUAUUUCUCAAGGCCAAAAUUAGAAGAUUAUUGUCUUUAAUCCUGUCUUGUGGUUCCACUUGGGAUGGUCAUUUCUUAAAUGCUGUCUUUUUCAAGCCUGAGGGAUCAUUGAUGAUUGAACUAUUUUUUCCCUGGAAUGGGCUAUAAUGAGGCAAACAGGAAAGGAGUCUUUAUUGUUGUUCUGGGAGCAUUUAAUAAAUACCCAGCUGCCAACUUGAGAAUAAUUGCUGAUGCGUGGAGUAACUAUGCCCUAAAACAAUGUUAUGGAUUAGUAUUUUUUAUGGUGCUGAAGUGAAGCUUGUCCAAGUCUUUUUUCCAACGCAAUGGAGGACAGAACAAGUCUAACUGUGCAUAUGAUGGUCAUUCCUCAAAUGGUACUUGUAUUUCGUCUUUUUUUGCAUGGAAGAUGUAUCUGGCUUUGUCAUUACCUGAUUGUCUUUAUGGUCGACUACAGGCACUUGCACACUUGUUAGAUUCAGACAAUUAAAGAAUGCUUAUGUUAGUGCUUUACUAAUCUACUAUAUAGGAAAAAGGCCAUUAGACUGCUUUUAAAUUAAUGGUACUAGAACUCUUUAUGUCCGUUUAAACAUGCAACUCCCUUAGCUAUGUCAUCACUGCUCUGCAGCAGGAAUAAGAGGUUCCACUUUGAUAAGGCUGCAGUUUUGAUUAUGUUUGCACUUGGAUUUUAUAAAGAGAACAUCUUUGUUAAAUGAUUCAUGGAAAUAAGAACAUUCAUUUUGUACAUGCCUACGCAAAGACAAGUGCAAAUUUAGGUAUCUGCAUACACUUUCUUCCAGCACUCCCUGUAGAAUGCAGUUUUUAAAUGUUCUAAACAUUUUUAUUGGUAAAGCAACCCAUAUUGUAUUGUUUCAUGGCUCACAUUGGCUCAGUUCUUUCAUACGGUGUUUGUGAGCAUCAUGGUUCCAUAUUUUUGUAUUCUGUUCUGUUUUGUUGCUUCUAUAAUUUUUUAUUCAUCCAAAAGUUUCAGAUCAAGCCGUAGUUAUGAUCUUCCGCUCAACAAAUCACAACCACCAUCAGGUAAGGUGCAAACAGAAAGGGGCCCAAGGGAUCCACUAUCAGGUAGGGUGCAAAAGGUGAAAACAGUGCAAAAGGUGGUUAACUGUUUUCAAGCGGCCUAAUAAACUAGAUUCAAUAUCGAAUGUAGUUUCUGUUGAACAGGCUUGAGAAGCUGGUACGAAUACAGAACUGAGAGAUGCUGGUAGAUUGCCUUUUGGCAGUUCCUUCUAUUCAUACAUAUUUUUGGCAAAUGAGAAUUGAAUGCAAAUCGCGCCUUAUGGUGUGGAUAAUGCGGAAAUCAUACUCUGAAUUACUCUCUUGAAAUAUAGCUUUUGAAAUUUGAAAAGAUUAAACGCUGAAAGAGAAAACCCUUGUUUCGAUAUUAGAUAUCUUAUUGGUUGCAUCAAGCUACUGAAAUGUCUGUUCGGGUUUAUUAACGUCGUCUUGUAGUUUCCAUAUGCUAAAAGUUUCCUUAUUAGGUUUGGAUCGUGCCUCAAGUUCGAAGCCAAUGUGGUGAAAAAACAAGUCUGGUAUGACUUCUAGAAGUUAAUAUUUAUGGUUUUGAUUACACUCCUAAUUGCAUGCCUGAAUUUUGGUUUAUUUGAUGAGGUCAUUUUUAGUGUCUGUUUUUGUUGGUAGAAGUGAGAAACAUUCGUGGAGGUGACCAUAAAAUUGGCAGACAAUAUUGUGGCAAAGUUGUUUACCUAUUUUAUUAUUAAGGUUCCCUGUUCCGACCACAAUCUAGUCUCUAAAUCGCCCCUCCUGGAUCUUUAAUGAGAAUUUUUUUUUCAUAAUCUGUGGUUUGAGAAUGAGAAUCUGGUACCAUCGGUAAACUUGGAGAUGGUUUGAAUCUCUCCUGGAUCACCUUGAUUUAAAGUGAUUUUAGUCAUUUGUGGGUAACUGUUAGAAUCCAGAGUUUACUACCCUACAGGUAUGGGUCAAAUGUGGCUCAACCUUGGACAGUUUCCAAAGCUAUCUAAAAAGAAAAAUGUUAACUACUGAUUGUUGAACUCAGAUUAUUUGAACAUUUCUAUGUGAUGACUGCUCGUAGUUUUGCUUUUAGAGUCGCAGUGGUGAAAGGAAUGAAGGUUACUUUGAUAUUUUUGGGUUACCUUGGCUUUUUAUGAUUGACCAAAAAUCUGCAAUUUCGUUUUGUAACCCCAAGGAAGAGGGUGGGAGGUUUAUAUAUUCUACACAACUUCUUGAUUUGGUGGUUCAAUGAAGUCAAUUUGUGGAUGCCAAAGUGAAAGCAGAAUUGAUGUUCCGCCUUAUCAAAGUUAGUUAUGGAACGGGUGAAUUCACUGCUAGAAUGUACAACCAAUUUUGGUACAUCGGUAUUUAGUGAACUGUCAGAUGAAAUAAAAAUCAUUGGUGAAUGAUCUUA